rnacentral:rRNA from 1 species
AGAGUUUGAUCCUGGCUCAGAUUGAACGCUGACGGCAUGCCUUACACAUGCAAGUCGAACGGCAGCACGGGGGCAACCCUGGUGGCGAGUGGCGAACGGGUGUGUAAUAUAUCGGAACGUGUCCUGUAGCGGGGGAUAACCUAUCGAAAGAUGGACUAAUACCGCAUACGACCUAUGGGUGAAAGCGGAGGACCGCAAGGCUUCGCACUAUAGGAGCGGCCGAUAUCGGAUUAGCUAGUUGGUGAGGUAAAAGCUCACCAAGGCGACGAUCCGUAGCUGGUCUGAGAGGACGA